GGGCUCAGAGCUCGCCGCCAAGGGGCGUGGCCUCCGGGCCGCGGUGGCCUCCGGGCCGCGGUGGCCUCCGGGCCGCGGCGGCCUCUGGGAGUUGUAGUCCCGCCUCAACUUGUGGUGGCCUCUUUUAAAAAACAAAAAACAAACAAACAAAAAAACACUGGCGCUUGGGUCCGUCGCUGCCUCGGUGUCCCUGUCGGGCUUCCCAGCAGCGGCCUAGUGGAAAAGUAAAAGAUGUCUGAAUAAAUUCGGGUAACCGAAGAUGAGAACGAUGAGCCCAUUGAAAUACCAUCGGAAGACGAUGGGACAGUGCUGCUGUCCACGGUUACAGCCCAGUUUCCAGGGGCGUGUGGGCUUCGCUGCAGGAAUCCGGUGUCUCAAUGUAUGAGAGGUGUCCGGCUGGUAGAAGGAAUUCUGCAUGCCCCCGAUGCUGGCUGGAGAAAUCCGGUGUAUGUUGUCAACUAUCCGAAAGGUAACAAAAGAAAAAUGGGUGAGACAGAAGCUUCAUCAGCAGUGAAAGUGAAAAGACCAGUCCGAUUUAAUAGUGUUGGGUCUCCCAUGGAAAACAACUGAACAGGACCUGAAAGAGUACUGUAGUACCUUUGGAGACGUUCUUAUGGUGCGGCAAAGCCAAGAUGAGCCUUUGAGAAGCAGAAAAGUGUUUGUGGGGCGCCGUACGGAGGACAUGACUGAGGAUGAGCUGCGGGAGUUCUUCUCUCAGUAUGGGGACGUGAUGGAUGUCUUCGUCCCCAAGCCGUUCAGGGCCUUUGCCUUUGUUCCAUUUGCAGAUGAUCAGAUUGCGCGGUCUCUUUGUGGAGAGGACUCGAUGAAAGGAAUCAGCGUUCACAUAUCCAAUGCCGAACCCAAGCGCAAUAGCAAUAGACAGAAAGAAGUGGAAGAUUUGGUGGUAAUCCAGGUGGCUUUGGGAAUCAGGGUGGAUUUGGAACACUUCUGUCUACAUGCCUUCUCAUUCAAGAAUUCGUCAUCACACAUCACAGGCCGAGUCUUUGACGGUUAAUGAGAAUGAUCCAGAAGGGAGGAGAAGCGAAUGGUGCAGUGGAGAGCAGAGUCCCUGAGCAGUGGAAACAGCCAUGAAGAUCUUUCAUCUCUUCAAAGCACCACCUGGUGUACCUCGCUGGCUGCCGGGCUGAGGUGGGGCAGGGGUUACGUCUGCUCUUCGAUCCUGUGAUUCAAGGGGGAUCCAUUUUCGUCUUCUUUGGUGUCCAACACUUCGCUGAGUCCCAGAGAAGGAAUAUCUUCUUCAUAUGGUCCUAAAAGGCACCUUGGCUUCCUCUUUUCUUCUCUGGGGAAGUCACCUGCUACACUGUGAGGACAUCUAGGCAGCCCUACGGAGAGGUCCCCAUGGCAAGGAGCUGAGGCCUCUGCCAAGAGCCAGCAGUGUGUGAGAGGCCUGCAAGUGAGGCUCCUGGAAGCCGGUCCUCUAGCUGGCAGGUGACAGAAGCCCCCACCAGUAUCUUACCAUCAACAUCAGGAACGACCCUGAGCUAGAAGUACCCAGCUAAGCCGCUCUCAAAUUCCUGACCCAAAGAGACCGUGCAAGCCUGAGCAAGAUCAAAGGGGAGCACUGCCUUGCAACCAAAUUCUUCCUCUGCAAUAACAAGUGCUGCUGAGUAAGGCAUUCUUCAGGAAGAUGGAGGGACUCAACUGGUAAAGGAGGGACUCUGGAGGUUCUCUACGGGCUGGCAGUAACUCCUGAAUCUGGGGAAGAAGGAGAGAAAGGAAAGAGCGGAGAAGACAUAAUCCUCAAGGAAGCUGUGGGCUUAACUUCUUACACAUUUCCCUUGGUGCGUCUGCCCAGAGACCCGGGGGAGCUGGGUCCUUGUGGUGAGUAGCUUCCUGGGCUCACUGGCUCUGAUCCCUGUGCCAGUGUCCCAGGGGGGAGGGAAGAGGCAGCAUCUCUAACAAGUGUCUGGGGGUAUGGGAAGGAACUGGGGGAUCAGGAGCCAGACUUCUGGGCCAGGAAAGGGGUGAAGAAGCUCAUCUAUUUUACUUCAUCCCUUGACCUUCAACCCCCCAAGUGGCACCUGGCCUACAGAGCAGCUUCCCACACCAUGACCAUGGACUCUGCCUGACUUUGGAGUCCAAAGCCCAGCCCUGAGGCUGGCCCAGUCAGGAGGGUGCAUCUCCUGGGGAGAAGGGCACCAGAAAUGGUACAUCCCUCCUUCCUCAUGUGCCCAGCACUACAUGCCCACUAUCUUGAGGUCGAAUUCGCUGAUUCUCUGGAGGUCCCGUCCAGGUGGGGCCCCUGCCCACAUGGUUACUCAGGCAAGAAAUGUGGACAUGGCAGCACUGCCCUGCCAUGGUUCUUCCCUCCUCGGGCACUAGCCUGGGACUAUUCCCCAGGGAAUGCAAGCUGACAUCCUGAGAGCACUCCCCCAGUGGGAAGUUCUACAGAAACAGAUGGCGUUGCCAGGGAAGUUCCAACAGCUGUCUUAUAUGUUAAUGCUUCUGAAACUGGACACAUUUCACAUUUUGAAACCAGCACUGGACUCAGUACCAACAGGAAUAAAGUUUUUUAAAACGCA
rnacentral:antisense_RNA from 1 species